rnacentral:rRNA from 1 species
GACGAACGCUGGCGGCGUGCUUAACACAUGCAAGUCGAACGGAAAGGCCCUGCUUGCAGGGUACUCGAGUGGCGAACGGGUGAGUAACACGUGGGUGAUCUGCCCUGCACUUCGGGAUAAGCCUGGGAAACUGGGUCUAAUACCGGAUAUGACCUUCCAUGUAGUGUGGGGGGUGGAAAGAUUUAUCGGUGUGGGAUGAGCCCGCGGCCUAUCAGCUUGUUGGUGGGGUAAUGGCCUACCAAGGCGUCGACGGGUAGCCGGCCUGAGAGGGUGGACGGCCACAUUGGGACUGAGAUACGGCCCAGACUCCUACGGGAGGCAGCAGUGGGGAAUGUUGCACUAUGGGCGGAAGCCUUAUGCAGCGACGCCGCGUGGGGGAUGACGGCCUUCGGGUUGUAAACCUCUUUCGACAGGGACGGAACUUUGGUGACGGUACCUGUAUAAGAAGCACCGGCUAACUACGUG